rnacentral:snoRNA from 1 species
GUUGAGACCUAUCCUGAUGAGACUUAUUCUGCAGACCUACAUCGCUGGAAACGCCUCAUGGCAUAUGUGUGGUUUCCUUUAUCCACAGCACUGUGUGGUUGGAUCUGAGGGAAAGAACUCCAGGACCCCA